GAUGAACGCUGGCGGCGUGCCUAAUACAUGCAAGUCGAGCGAACGGACGAGAAGCUUGCUUCUCUGAUGUUAGCGGCGGACGGGUGAGUAACACGUGGAUAACCUACCUAUAAGACUGGGAUAACUUCGGGAAACCGUAGCUAAUACCGGAUAAUAUUUUGAACCGCAUGGUUCAAAAGUGAAAGACGGUCUUGCUGUCACUUAUAGAUGGAUCCGCGCUGCAUUAGCUAGUUGGUAAGGUAACGGCUUACCAAGGCAACGAUGCGUAGCCGACCUGAGGGGGUGAUCGGCCACACUGGAACUGAGACACGGUCCAGACUCCUACGGGAGGCAGCAGUAGGGAAUCUUCCGCAAUGGGCGAAAGCCUGACGGAGCAACGCCGCGUGAGUGAUGAAGGUCUUCGGAUCGUAAAACUCUGUUAUUAGGGAAGAACAUAUGUGUAAGUAACUGUGCACAUCUUGACGGUACCUAAUCAGAAAGCCACGGCUAACUACGUG
rnacentral:rRNA from 1 species